GCCGUUCUCAAGGCUGGCAAGUGGAAUGUUCACCUACUUCUCAAAGGAUUGCUUACAACCCUUCCAAGAAAGAAUACAGUCAUCUAGCUAACAGAAUGGGGUCCGAGCAUUUAGGAAAACUGCUUUCCAAGCACUUGGAACCUGUCAUUAAGUCUCGAAUUCCGGGCCUCCAGACUGUCAUUAGCAGAACAAUCCUUGAUUCAUCAUUUCAGCACUUGGAAUCUGUCAUAUGUCCACAUGGUGGUUGGAACUUUAAGACACUCGAUUCCCAAAUCCGU